UACGUAGGGGGCUAGCGUUGUCCGGAAUCAUUGGGCGUAAAGAGCGUGUAGGCGGUCCGGUAAGUCCGCUGUGAAAGUCGGGGGCUCAACCCUCGAAUGCCGGUGGAUACUGGCAGGCUUGAAUCCGGGAGAGGGAUGCGGAAUUCCAGGUGUAGCGGUGAAAUGCGUAGAUAUCUGGAGGAACACCGGUGGCGAAGGCGCAUCCUGGACCGGCAUUGACGCUGAGGCGCGAAAGCCAGGGGAGCAAAGCGGG
rnacentral:rRNA from 1 species